CAAGAUGAGACUUCCCAUCAUUUUAAAUGAGUAAGAUCCCUCAGAGACGAUGAGGUUAAUAGGUUUGAGGUGGAAGCGUGGCGACACGUGGAGCUGACAAAUACUAAUCGAUCGAGGACUUAACUAAAUU
rnacentral:rRNA from 1 species